ensembl:lncRNA
GGGGAAGGAGACAGGGAUACUGGAGUGAUGGAGGUAGAUAUGUAUAGGGGGAAGGAGACAGGGAUACUGGAGUGAUGGAGAUAGAUAUGUAUAGGGGGAAGGAGACAGGGAUACUGGAGUGAUGGAGGUAGAUAUGUAUAGGGGGAAGGAGACAGGGAUACUGGAGUGAUGGAGGUAGAUCUGUAUAGGGGGAAGGGGACAGGGAGGUAGAUAUGUAUAGGAGUAAGGGGAUAGGGAUACUGGAGUGAUGGAGGUAGAUAUGUAUAGGGGGAAGGGGAUACUGGAGUGAUGGAGGUAGAUAUGUAUAGGGGGAAGGGGAUACUGGAGUGAUGGAGGUAGAUAUGUAUAGGGGGAAGGGGAUGCUGG